UCUGUCUCUUCUUAACAAACCCAAAUCUUCGGUGGCUGAGGACGAAUGAUGAAGUGUUGCCCAGGAUGUCGAUGCCUCCUUGUCUGGAGUAUGCUGCUUUACUCCUAUCCAAUGAUCCCUUUUCACCUUUUAAGACACUACUUCUUGGUAGUGAACGUUGGCAGACAGGGGUAGUGAUGUUUGGUGACAGUAGGUUAUUCCUGUAACAUCUAAUCCUCUGCUCCCUGCCUUAUUAUAGUUGGUACCAACUGAGAGGGAUAAAGUUUUCUAGCAUGAUGCGGCUCUUCUGGAACGUGGUAUUGGAGAAGGAGCCAGAUGCUGAGAGCUUGCUCUUUGGGUUUCAUCUCUUGGUGUUGCAACUUUUGGCUGUCUUAGCCGAAUAUUUUGUCCUCUGUUCUGUAGGUCAGUACGGAUGUGAGAGGGUUUCCUCGUACUCCAAGGCCCCCCCCAUAUGCCCUACCACAUGGGGCGGUGUUUACCAGGCUUCACUGGCUAUGGGCUACCUCAGCCUCCUCCACAUGGGCGGACUGUGGUGCCUCACCCACAGCUUGUUCCUCCACCACAUGGGCUUCAGUCAUAUUCAGAAACCUGUGGCACUCAAGGGGACAACAGCGGCACCCCGCCCAAGAAGGUCCCGCAGAAGGACCAGGUGAAAACUGUGGCUGUUUUUAGUUGUAAUCACUUCUGGAAUCCUGUUCGUGUCUGGGCAGCACCCUGUCCUGACCUUGUAUCUGUUGGGUUUGUCCUGGCAUCUGUGUGUGGUGUCAUUUACCUUUCAAAAUGCUAUGUCUUCAUUCAGAGCCUACAGGCUUCUCUGUUUCCAGAUCAUCACCUUAGGGUUGUGUUAGUGGAAGAAACACAGAGUUUUGAUGAAGCCUUGACAUUACAAGGGGAAUCCUGGCUGGGCAUGUUUUAACAUCCUGAAGAUUCUCAGGACAUACAUUUGUUGUGCUUGGCUAUUUCCAUGCACUGAGCAGUGGGGCAGGUGCUGUUGUUGGGAAGGAAGUGUCUUUAUUGCACAAUGGAGACAUAUACUUCUUACCAUCACGCCCGUCCAGAGUCCACAUUUGUUGUCUGGGACGGAUGAUACACACCUCUCACUUUGUUUGCAGCGUGUUGAGUUUGAGCUGUCAUU
rnacentral:lncRNA from 1 species